CGGUAUCUUUUUUUCAAGAUGUUAAAACUGCCACAAGACAGCUCAGAAUGACAGUGUGUUUUGUUUCUGAAGUGAUGUUUACCAUCUUACAUCCUGAACUGAGUCAAGUCCUUUGCUUUCUGUUGGAUAACUUUUUCUUCUCUUUUGCUCCCAGAUUAUGUAUUUUGCUUGUUUCUUAGCUACGUAGCCUAACAUGCUAUCUGGGAUGAGCUAUCUGGCUCUUCAUUUUUGGUGAUUUUUUAUUUUUUUGUAGCCUGUUUCUCCAUCUAGUUCAAGAUCCAGUUAAGCUUUCUUCUUUCUACAGCCUCAGAAUUGCUAGCUGAAAUGCUGAUUAGCUGGAAGAGAGGAAAUACUGCUGAACAGCGAUGUGGAUGUAGAGAGGAUUAGGUGGUCGUGUGUCAAUCAUUUUAUUGUCUAAGUAGCAGACAUUUAGACACAUUAUGAUGGCUGUAUUUAGUACUGACUUCUUUCUUAUUCAAAGUGCUGUACAGACAUUAAGGUCAGGAACAUGCCUGCCUCCCAGCCAUCAUCCUCCUUCCUCCAGAGGUAUUUAAAAAUAAGGAAGGCAGAGAGAGGGUAUGAAGAAUUUCCCUAGUGCAAGUCAAGCAGCAGAAAUAAGAUGGAAUAGCAGCCUUGUCAAUCAAAAUCCACAAGUAUUGCACAAUGCCUGUAUAAGGCUACCAGAAAUUGCUCUUUCAGAGGAGACAUGGGGUGAGGACUGUCAGCAGCCUAGCCGUCCAGAGACCCCCCAGAUCUGUUUACCCUUCAAAAGAAACAUUGGGGGAAGGUGACUUGAGAGGAAAAGAUGGCAUUGUGAUUUUUAUCUUUCUGGUUUGCACUAUAUCCCUGAGGAAGGUUGUGACCUCUUUAGCCCCAGUUUUGUAGCUUCAGUUGGCACACCUCUUCAGCUCUUCCAGCAGAGCCAACUUGCUGUCCCCGGGAAUGUCUCAAUUGUUUCCAGUGAAGGCUGGUAUUCCUGUUGUGGAAGAGUAAUCCUGUGAUUUAAGCAGCUGAUUUUAUGCAUGUUUAAAGUAUGCAGCGAAAAUUAAAUACAUUAGUAAAAACAGAUCAGUGUUUUGUUUAGUCCUUCAUACUGUUACAAAACAGAUACUGAAAUGUUAGAGCAAUCAAAAGUUAAUUAAAUUUCUGAAUAGAGUAACAGUGUGAAAGCUGUGUUGGGUACAAUUACAGCUUUUCUAAGUGAGAAGCAGAAAUUUGACUCGGGGCGGGGGGGGGGGGGGGGUAGGAAGGUAGCGGGAUAAAGACACACAACCUGUUUGCUUACCAUAUUGUCUAAAGGAACUAAGUACACUAUUAAUGAUGGUUUCUUUCUCUACAGGUGUUAUGUUCCUUUGACUGUGAUGUUUAACUACUAUAAUUUUACCCUGCUUGGGUGUAUCCCAUACCAAACCUUUGUCUGCAUGAUUGAAAGACAUUAAUAUUUAAAGGACUUCUGUAUCCUGCUCCAAAGAAAUAAACAAAGCAGUGGGAAUAGCCUACCUACUGUAUGUACCUUAGGGUAUAACUGUAACACCUUACACUGAUUAUAAGCAAUACAGUGUUUUUUUUACAGAACUGAGCUACUCUAGUAAGCUUUGGCCCUGAACCUUAUGGUCACAGGGCCUGGCACAAACAGCGAGGAGUAAGGACGCUGAAUGAGUCUGCAGCUAAACAGGCUGUUUGGCAGCCCUGAGCAAGCUUGGUAUACUCAGCCAGCCAGCUUUGAUCAGUGAAUCUCAGCUUCAGGUUCUUGUUCUCUAUAUGGAACUGCUGACCAUACAUCUGAGCAGAGCCUGGCACUGGUCUGGCAGUGUGGUAGGUGGCAGUUCAGCUUUGUUUCAAGCCACUAAGCUAACUCACACCUGGCUGUUAUAGAUGGGUGGUGCAGACUGGGUUCCUCCUAAUGGAGGAGGUAUUUAUACUGAACCGUCUUGCAGAGGCCCUGCAGAGCACAGGUCCUACAUUCUUUGUGCUCUGUGCUCACAGCUGGUUUGGUGUGGGCCCCACCAAGUAUUUGUGCUGUGCUUCACAGCCCCUGGAUCAUUGUCCCUGUUAUGCUGUAUACUGCCUCUGCUUCUGCCACGUAAAGCAAUUCAGAUCUGUUCUCCACAGGUAUUGCUGCAUCACUGCUCUCUGCACCUCAUAAACACUUUUGCAAUAGUAAUUAGUGCUACAGAGGUGUGGUUUUGUUAGGUUGUUUUGUUUGUUUAUUUGCAGUGAGAAAUGUUGAUGAUAAUGUGAAGACAUGACUAUAGACAAAAAUGUAUCAGUAUCUUCUAAGAGCUGGAACUUGAGUUUCUAUGUUUUCAAUAGAUUUUAUAUGUAAAAUUAUCAGAUUAUUGGUAUAAAGCCUUAUUUUAUUAUUAAAAAUGUACAUGGAUUGAGAUGUGGCUUUUUCUGCUCCUUUCACAAUAGAAUGAAAGGUCAUUUAUUAUUCUCUGUGUACCUGGAGGACUCCUUGACUGCAGUUACAGUUGAGUAUGCAGGCAUAAUCAGGCUGCGUGUAAUUUCUUUGCCUUUAUGUGGAUGACUUUCAAAAUAAAACUUGCUACAGCUUCAGGCCAAAAGCUUUCUCCUUGAGCCACAGCUCCUAUCAUUUUUUCCCCUCAGGCAUACUUAUCCUUAGCUAGUCAGGAAAGUGUGCACACAAAUGAUAGGUCAUUAGAAAAUUCUCUGAAUGGCAAACCUCUGAAGUCAUCCCAUUUGCCAUGCAUCAUGAUGAAACUGGGUAAGUUUGAGGAGGCACUAAUUAUAUGCUUGGUCUGUCAUUUAUCAGUUGUUGGAGCUGUUCUUAGAAAAUGGCAGCCUCUUUCAUGGCACAGUUCAACAAGAUUGCCAGAGCUCAAUGAGCCAAGCAGGGUUGACAGAUUUUGGCAUUUUAUUCCCUUCAAUGUAAGAACAUCCCAUUACAACACAAAUGGGUAUCUUGCUUUGCUGUAGCACUGCAUCAUAUACAAAUACAGUAAUGUUGAUCUGUGGGCUUUCCUUAAAAUCGUAUUUGGGGAUCUAAUUCCCCUUAAAACAAAUAGCAACUGUAGGACUUGCAUUUACCAUCACCCUUGAUGGUUUGUUUCACUUAAUACAAUAGUGAAUAUAUAAUCCUUUUGUGAUUUUAACCGACAUAAAUAGAAGGUGAUCUUGUUUCCCCUCAGGUCUUGUGAGAAAAAAAGCAGAUGUUUAAUGCAGUGAGCUAAAUAAUAGAAGAUUGUAAAUUGUAAUGAAUAUUCAUGGUUUCAAAUAAGAUAAUGGACCAUGUGUCAAGAAAUAAUGUGGCUUCCUGCUAUGAUUUCCAGUGUGGCUUAACAUGUUUCACAGAGCUUCCAGUUUCAAGAAUUGCUUUUUAAUACUGAGUUUUCACACUUUUCUUAAAACGCAGAUUUUUUUUUCAUGCAUGUUUCUGAGCUCAUUUGGGAUGAAAUCAUUACUUUAUUUGAUACCUCAGAAGCGCUGCAAUGAUAAAAGGAGAUUUUUCACAUAA